rnacentral:rRNA from 1 species
GGCCUUCGGGCCGAGUUGUAAUUUGUAGAGGAUACUUUUGGCGAGGUGCCUUCCGAGUUCCCUGGAACGGGACGCCAUAGAGGGUGAGAGCCCCGUCUGGUCGGAUACCAAGCCUCUGUAAAGUUCCUUCGACGAGUCGAGUAGUUUGGGAAUGCUGCUCAAAAUGGGAGGUAUAUGUCUUCUAAAGCUAAAUAUUGGCCAGAGACCGAUAGCGCACAAGUAGAGUGAUCGAAAGAUGAAAAGCACUUUGAAAAGAGGGUUAAAAAGUACGUGAAAUUGUUGAAAGGGAAGCGCCUAUGACCAGACUUGGGCCCGGUGAAUCAUCCAGCGUUCUCGCUGGUGCACUUUGCCGGGCACAGGCCAGCAUCAGUUUGGCGCGGGGGAUAAAGGCUUUGGGAAUGUGGCUCCCUCGGGAGUGUUAUAGCCCAUUGUGUAAUACCCUGCGCCGGACUGAGGUACGCGCAUUGCAAGGAUGCUGGCGUAAUGGUCAUCAGCGACCCGUCUUGAAACACGGACCAAGGAGUCGUCUUCGUAUGCGAGUGUUCGGGUGUCAAACCCCUACGCGUAAUGAAAGUGAACGCAGGUGAGAGCUUCGGCGCAUCAUCGACCGAUCCUGAUGUUCUCGGAUGGAUUUGAGUAAGAGCAUACGGGGCCGGACCCGAAAGAAGGUGAACUAUGCCUGUAUAGGGUGAAGCCAGAGGAAACUCUGGUGGAGGCUCGCA